rnacentral:rRNA from 1 species
AGAGUUUGAUCCUGGCUCAGAUUGAACGCUGGCGGCAGGCCUAACACAUGCAAGUCGAACGGUAACAUUUCUAGCUUGCUAGAAGAUGACGAGUGGCGGACGGGUGAGUAAUGCUUGGGAACUUGCCUUUGCGAGGGGGAUAACAGUUGGAAACGACUGCUAAUACCGCAUAAUGUCUACGGACCAAACGGGGCUUAGGCUCCGGCGCAAAGAGAGGCCCAAGUGAGAUUAGCUAGUUGGUAAGGUAAUGGCUUACCAAGGCAACGAUCUCUAGCUGUUCUGAGAGGAAGAUCAGCCACACUGGAACUGAGACACGGUCCAGACUCCUACGGGAGGCAGCAGUGGGGAAUAUUGCACAAUGGGGGAAACCCUGAUGCAGCCAUGCCGCGUGUGUGAAGAAGCCUUCGGGUUGUAAAGCACUUUCAGUUGUGAGGAAAAG